UAGGGAAUCUUCGGCAAUGGACGAAAGUCUGACCGAGCAACGCCGCGUGAGUGAAGAAGGUUUUCGGAUCGUAAAACUCUGUUGUUAGAGAAGAACAAGGACGUUAGUAACUGAACGUCCCCUGACGGUAUCUAACCAGAAAGCCACGGCUAACUACGUGCCAGCAGCCGCGGUAAUACGUAGGUGGCAAGCGUUGUCCGGAUUUAUUGGGCGUAAAGCGAGCGCAGGCGGUUUCUUAAGUCUGAUGUGAAAGCCCCCGGCUCAACCGGGGAGGGUCAGUGGAAACUGGGAGACUUGAGUGCAGAAGAGGAGAGUGGAAUUCCAUGUGUAGCGGUGAAAUGCGUAGAUAUAUGGAGGAACACCAGUGGCGAAGGCGGCUCUCUGGUCUGUAACUGACGCUGAGGCUCGAAAGCGUGGGGAGCAAACAGG
rnacentral:rRNA from 2 species